rnacentral:lncRNA from 1 species
UCAUGAACCGGAAUUGUAAUUGGAAUUGGUAUCAUAUACAAAUAAUUAGUAUGGGUAUGGCCCUAUGUAAUCAUUCCAAUAUAUAUUGCUUGGUAAACACUUUCUAGGCUUGGGUAUCAGAAUAAAAUAUUUAUUUUUUCUUUCUUCCUCGCUGCACAUGCCGCCAGAGCAGAAGAAAAGAACCAGAGCCAAUCUUCAUCUUCUUCUUUGGUCAAACACUACAAAAACCAGAGCCAACUACAGAAGAAAAGAAACAAGACUAAAUGAACAUAAAUGGCCUUCCCCGUCUGGUUCUCAAAAAGUCUGAAAUCGAAAAAACAAGCCGAGCAGGAGAAGAAAAGAGAAGCAACAAUGGCGGCAAUCACGAAGAAGAAGAUGAUGAGGAAACUUCCCCUUUUUUCUCGCGAUUUCUUCCCCUUUUUUCUUGUGAUUUCCAGGCAAUCUUUCCCUUUUUUCUCGCGAUUCCUUCCCUUUUUUGGGUUAGUUUUUCUCAGCCUUUGGAAUUCUAUGAAUUUCUAAGUAUGCAUUUCUUUUCCCUGGAAAUUUGGAUUGUUUUUUGCUGGAAAUUUGGAGUGUUGGUGGGGGAAUGUAAUGGUACAGAACCAGUUGGAGGCAAUGGUGACAGAUUUGUUGCAGAAAGCAGUAAACUAUUGCUCAAUAGAAAUGGAGUAGAAUUGGUAUUGAAAAUGAUUUGGUAAUUCAAUUUCUUAAUAUGAAUGAAUACAGACUGGAAACAAUGGAUUCAGAGAUAGAAGGGGAAAAAGAGUGAAGGAAUAAAACGUGAGAGGGAGGGAGGGAGAUUGGCAGAGCCAAUCUUUCUUUACAAGUAAUUGGACAAAUGACAAAAUGCUACCUAUCACUAAGAUUUCUUCUGCUUUUAUGGUUUUCCCGGCUAACUAACUUCUAAACUAACCAAUGAGCUGAGGCCAGGUGGAUUCUAGAAUGAUCCGUCCCACUUGUUCAUAACAGAAGCAUAAUUCUGUUUGGAGCCAAGAAAAACGUGUUUCCUGAAUCACGCCUUCCCUUUCUUCGGUUUGAUCAAUCGCGCCAUCCUUUUGCCGUAGACCACGCCUUCACCUUUCUUUAAGCUGAACUGGAAAGACUUCUGCACUCCAUGACAGUACCCCCUCCUUCACAAAUAUCUUGUCCUCAAGAUUGAAACUGGGGAAACUGCUUCUCAAUAUCCUCUGCGAAUUCCCAUGUUGCCUCUGCUGGAUCUGUUCCCCACCAGUGAAUCAGCCAUUGUACUGCAGCAGCAUUCCCUUUCUUGACUAUUCUCCUAUCCAGCACUGCUACGGGCUCUACCCUCAAGUGCCCUUUUCCAUCGACUUCCGGUAGCUGUAAAAUAGGUGUAGCCUGUUCUCCAACUUUUUUCUUCAGUAGUGAGACAUGAAAAACAGGAUGUAUUUUGGACCCUGUUGGCAGCUUCAGCAUGUAAGCAACCUCUCCAAUCUUUUUUAUUACUUCAAAGGGCCCAUAGUAACGUGCUGAUAGCUUGGUGUUGCUCCUCAUAGCUACAGAAUUUUGCCUGUAAGGUUGUAGUCUUAAGUAUACCCAGUCUCCAAUUUCAAAUCUCCUUUCACUCCUCCUUUCAUCUGCAUACCUUUUCAUCCUUUCCUGAGCCUGUGCUAGAUUCUGUUUUAGUGCAAUGUCGACCUUAUGCCUUUCCCUUAGAUAGUCUCCAACUACAGCCACCUUGGCCUGAGUGUAGGGUCCCAGGGCCAUCUGUGGAGGCGCCUGCCCAUACAGAGCUUCAAAGGGUGUCAUUUGAAUAGCUGUGUGGUGACUGGUAUUAUACCACCAUUCUGCCAUGGCCAACCAGUGGUUCCACUUCUUUGGUUCUAGAUGGGAGAAACAUCUGAGGUACAUUUCCAGUACCUGAUUCACUCUUUCUGUCUGGCCAUCAGAUUGUGGGUGAUAAGCUGUGCUGAGGUCCAGUGUAGCUCCCAGUAGUGUAAAUAUCUCACUCCAAAACAGACUGGUGAAGAUUCUAUCCCUGUCUGAUAGCAUGCUUUGGGGUAUUCCAUGUAACCUGACUAUCCCAUCCAAGAAUAUUCUAGCAAUUUUUGGGGCAUCAAAGGGGUGCGAUAUACUCAGGAAGUGAGCAUACUUGGUGUACCUAUCUACUACUACCAUGAUGGUGUCUUUUCCCUCUGAGUUAGGUAACCCUUCAAUGAAAUCCAUGGUGACAUGGCUCCAGGGAGACUGUGGGACUGGCAGUGGCUGCAGUAACCCUGGAUAUGACACAUGCUCAUCCUUACAUUUCUUGCAGACAUCACAUUCCAAAAUAGCUGUCUUAAUGUCCCUGUGCAUACCUGGCCAGUAGAACAGCUGUUUAGCCCUCAGAAAGCUAGCUUGUAUGCCAGAAUGUCCCCCUAACUGUGAGCCAUGUAGAGUGCUGAUCAGUUUCUUUCUUAUCUCUCCCCCAGAUCCCACAGCUAUUCUUCCUUUGAACUUCAGAACAUCAUUAUGGUAGCUGAGGUUAGGGACUUGAUCUGGUUUCAGCAACACCUCCCUGAUGCUAUCUUGUGCCCAAUCAUCCCCUUGGUAGCUGCUAAUCACUUCUUUGAUCCAUUCUGGCACUACAGUUGAUAUUGCAGUACAGUCCAUUCCUUGAUCACCUCUCCUAGACAAAGCAUCUGCCACUACAUUCUCUUUACCCUUCCUGUAGUGGAUCUCAUAGCUCAGCCCCAUGAGUUUAGUUAGCCAUUUUUGCUGCAGGGGGGUGGUAAUUCUUUGCUCUAAUAGGUACUUCAAACUCUGAUGAUCUGUGUUGAUGAUGAAGUGUUGACCCUCCAAAUAGUGUCUCCACUUGGUGACUGCUGUGACAAGAGCCAGUAGCUCCUUCUCGUAGAUGGAUAACCCCAUAUUCUUUGGUCCCAACCCCUGACUGAUGUAAGCUAUUGGUCUCUUGUUCUGCAUGAGGACUGCCCCUAUGCCCUUGUAGCAGGCAUCAGUCUCUACCACAAAAGGUUGGUUGAAAUCAGGUAAGGCCAGAACAGGAGUGUCACUCAUGGCCCCUUUGAGCUUCUGAAAAGCUUCCUCAGCUUCUCCUCCCCACUGGAAGCUGUCCUUCUUGAGCAGUGCAGUCAAAGGCUUGGCUAUGCUGCCAUACCCCUUGACAAACCUCCUAUAAUAUCCAGUUAGGCCUAGGAAUCCCCUCAGUUGUUUAACAUUCUCUGGUCUAGGCCAUUUCACCAUUCCCUCUAUCUUCCCAGGGUCAGCCUUCACCCCCUCCUCUGUGAUGAUGUGCCCCAAGUACUCCACCUGUGCCUGAGCAAAAGCACAUUUGCUCCUUUUGGCGUACAGCUGGUGCCUCCUGAGGAUAUCCAGAACCUCUGCCACAUGCUUCAGAUGCUCCUGUAAACUUGAGCUAUAUAUUAAGAUGUCAUCAAAAAAUACCAGUACUGAUUUCCUCAGCUGUUUUUGGAACACAUGAUUCAUUAAGCCUUGGAAAGUAGCAGGGGCAUUGGUUAGCCCAAAUGGCAUCACCUUGAACUCAUAGAGUCCCUGAUGGGUUCUGAAUGCAGUCUUGGGUAUGUCUUCAGUCUUGACCCUGAUUUGGAAGUACCCUGCUCUCAGGUCAAUCUUGGUGAAGUACCUGGAUCCAUUCAACUCAUCCAGGAGCUCAUCAAUAAGGGGUAUUGGGUAUUUGCUCUUCACUGUAAGCUCAUUCAAUUGUCUAUAGUCUACACAAAACCUCCAGGUGCCAUCCUUCUUUUUAACUAGUAGUACAGGGGAUGCAAAGGGGCUGUUACUAAGCUGGAUGAUGCCAUUUCCCAGCAUCUCCUGCACUAGUUUCUCAAUUUCAGACUUCUGGACGUAGGGGCAUCUGUAAGGUCUUAUCUGGAAGGGCUUGGAUCCCUCUUUCAAGGUGAUAGAAUGGUCAUGACUCCUUUCAGGGGGUAGUCCCUGAGGUUCCCUGAACACAUCCUCAAACUCCUGCAGUACCCUCCCCAUUUCUGGGGGUAUGGCUUCAGUUUCUGGUACCUCCUCAGUUACUGCUUUUAACUGAGCCAGGAUCCCAUAGGUUUGUUUCCUAGCCCACUUGUGCAGUCUACUACCUUUUAUCAGCUUUAAUUGCACCUGGUGACCCUCCCCCUUCAACUCCACUUGUUGUUUCCCUUUUUUGAACCUCACCCUCAGCCCUUGGAAGUCAAAUUCCAUGGGACUGAACCUGGCCAGCCAGUCUACCCCUAAUACCAUAUCACAACCCCCCAACUUCAAGGUAUUGAACUGGUGUUGAAACUCAUAUCCCUGCAUUUUCCAGACCACUGGCUUAACUAGGCCCCUGGACUGAAUCUUCUCUCCAUUAGCUACCCUGACCAUUAGGGAGGGUCCACUGCUGAUUAGGCCUAGGCUUUUGGCCAGUUGUUCAUCCAAAAAACAGUGAGUACUUCCACUGUCAAUCAAUGCAGUGACAGUUCUCCCUUUUAUGGUCCCCCUCAGUUUAAUUGUUCUAUGCUCCCCACCCCCAGCCAAUGCAUGCACAGAAACCUCUAUGUGUUCAUCCUCCAGUCGACCCUCAAUGCAGUCACAGAAUACUUCAGGGUCAGUCUCCUUUUCCUCCUCAGUGGAUGCAGAGUCCCCCUUUUCAUCAGUGACUAGCAAAAAGUGAAUGUGGGAUUGCUUACACACAUGGCCAAGUGUGUAGGGUUCAGCACACUUAUAGCAUAGUCCCUUCUCUCUUCUGAGGUUGUACUCACUAGGGGUGAUCCUCCUGAAUUGGUUCUGGUUGCUGUUUGGAUAUUUAUGGUUUUUGAUGGGGUGUUUGUCUGACGUUCUGGGAGCAGCAGAGCUCCCCUGGUUAUGGCUUGGGGUGUGGAAUGGGGCUUUGUGUGUAUGAAUAGUGCUGGGUAGGCCUUUAUGUAUUUUCUGCAUGGCUUUUAAAUUUUUUUCUUGUAACUUAGCUGCUUCUAUUGCAUCAGCCAGAGUUAGGGGCUUGGCCAUUUUUACCAUGUUAACUAUUUCUUCCUUCAAGCCACUUAGAAAACAUGUUUUAUAGUAAGAGUCAGCCAAAUGAGGGAGUGAAGGCAUUACCAGUGCUUUGAGCAGCUCAAACUUUUCCAGGUAGUCAGCAACAGAUCCCUCCUGAUUGAGUUUGUUGAAUUCUUCAAUGGCCUCCUCUGGCGUGCCUUCACCAAAUCUCGCACAUAAUGCAGUGGCAAAUUCAGCCCAUGGAAUGACUCCCCUGCCACUGAAUACUCCAUGGAACCAGGUAUCAGCCCUGUCUCUUAGGUACAGCUCAGCAAUCUCAGACUUCAUGUUUUCUUCCACUCCAUUGAUCUUAAAAUACUUGUUAGCUUUGCGGAUCCACUCCCUUGGAUUAUCUCCUGUAAAGUUAGGCAGCUCCAUCUUAGGCACCCUGGUGUAAGAUCUGCUCUCCUUCCAAUCUGAUCUGCCCUGACCUUCCCCUUGUGUUUCUCCUUUCCUGGGGCCUACUAUCGAACUGCUACUUUCUGUAUCCUUAUCCUUGCCAUUCAACUUGGCCAUCAUCUGAGCCAUCAUAGACAUCAUGCUCUCAUACUUUUGGUCCAGAUUUUUGAGGGUCCUUUCCGUACCUUCUUGCCUGUGUUCUAGUACCUUGACCACACUUCCUAGCUCAGACAGAUCCUUCUUCAAUGCUUCAUCUUGUGACUUAGCCAUCCCAAUGGCUCGUAGCUGAGCUCUGAUACCACUGUAAUGGUACAGAACCAGUUGGAGGCAAUGGUGACAGAUUUGUUGCAGAAAGCAGUAAACUAUUGCUCAAUAGAAAUGGAGUAGAAUUGGUAUUGAAAAUGAUUUGGUAAUUCAAUUUCUUAAUAUGAAUGAAUACAGACUGGAAACAAUGGAUUCAGAGAUAGAAGGGGAAAAAGAGUGAAGGAAUAAAACGUGAGAGGGAGGGAGGGAGAUUGGCAGAGCCAAUCUUUCUUUACAAGUAAUUGGACAAAUGACAAAAUGCUACCUAUCACUAAGAUUUCUUCUGCUUUUAUGGUUUUCCCGGCUAACUAACUUCUAAACUAACCAAUGAGCUGAGGCCAGGUGGAUUCUAGAAUGAUCCGUCCCACUUGUUCAUAACAGAAGCAUAAUUCUGUUUGGAGCCAAGAAAAACGUGUUUCCUGAAUCACGCCUUCCCUUUCUUCGGUUUGAUCAAUCGCGCCAUCCUUUUGCCGUAGACCACGCCUUCACCUUUCUUUAAGCUGAACUGGAAAGACUUCUGCACUCCAUGACAG